AACCUAGGCUUCGGCCUAGGGGACAGCGGCGAACGGGUGAGUAACACGUGGGUAAUCUGCCCUCGACAUCGGGAUAGCCCGGGGAAACCCGGAUUAAUACCGAAUAGCCCAUCCGCUUUUCGGAGCGGCUGGAAAAGGUAGCUUUGGCCUCCGGUCGAGGAGGAGCCCGCGGCGGAUUAGCUUGUUGGUGAGGUAACGGCCCACCAAGGCGACGAUCCGUAGCUGGUCUGAGAGGACGAUCAGCCACACUGGGACUGAGACACGGCCCAGACUCCUACGGGAGGCAGCAGUGGGGAAUCUUGCGCAAUGGGCGAAAGCCUGACGCAGCGACGCCGCGUGCGGGAAGAAGGCCUUCGGGUUGUAAACCGCUUUCAGGAGGGACGAAGCCACUCAGGUUAAUAGCCGAGAGGGUGACGGUACCUCCAGAAGAAGCCCCGGCUAACUACGUGCCAGCAGCCGCGGUAAUACGUAGGGGGCAAGCGUUGUCCGGAUUUAUUGGGCGUAAAGAGCGUGUAGGCGGCCAGAUAAGUCUGCUGUGAAAACUCGAGGCUCAACCUCGAGCUGUCGGCGGAAACUAUUUGGCUAGAGUCCGGAAGAGGAAAGCGGAAUUCCUGGUGUAGCGGUGAAAUGCGCAGAUAUCAGGAAGAACACCCGUGGCGAAGGCGGCUUUCUGGGACGGUACUGACGCUGAGACGCGAAAGCGUGGGGAGCGAACAGGAUUAGAUACCCUGGUAGUCCACGCUGUAAACGAUGGGUGCUAGGUGUGGGCGGUGUCGACUCCGUCCGUGCCGAAGCUAACGCAUUAAGCACCCCGCCUGGGGAGUACGGCCGCAAGGCU
rnacentral:rRNA from 1 species